UACAGAGGGGGCAAGCGUUGUUCGGAAUUACUGGGCGUAAAGGGCGCGUAGGCGGCCUUCUAAGUCGAACGUGAAAUCCCCGGGCUCAACCCGGGAACUGCGUCCGAUACUGGAAGGCUUGAAUCCGGGAGAGGGAUGCGGAAUUCCAGGUGUAGCGGUGAAAUGCGUAGAUAUCAGGAGGAACACCGGUGGUGUAGACGGCUCUCUGGACCGUAACUGACGCUGAGGCACGAAAGCGUGGGUAGCAAACAGG
rnacentral:rRNA from 1 species